GAUGAACGCUAGCUACAGGCCUAACACAUGCAAGUCGAGGGGCAUCAUGAUGAUUGCUUGCAAUCGUUGAUGGCGACCGGCGCACGGGUGAGUAACGCGUAUCCAACCUACCCAUGACUAAGGGAUAACCCGUCGAAAGUCGGCCUAAGACCUUAUGUAAUCCGAAGCAGGCAUCUAAUUUGGAUGAAAGAUUAAUUGGUGAUGGAUGGGGAUGCGUCUGAUUAGCUUGUCGGUGAGGUAACGGCUCACCGAGGCAACGAUCAGUAGGGGUUCUGAGAGGAAGGUCCCCCACAUUGGAACUGAGACACGGUCCAAACUCCUACGGGAGGCAGCAGUGAGGAAUAUUGGUCAAUGGACGAUAGUCUGAACCAGCCAAGUAGCGUGCAGGAUGACGGCCCUAUGGGUUGUAAACUGCUUUUAUGCGGGGAUAAAGUGAGGGACGUGUCCCUCAUUGCAUGUACCGCAUGAAUAAGGACCGGCUAAUUCCGUGCCAGCAGCCGCGGUAAUACGGAAGGUCCAGGCGUUAUCCGGAUUUAUUGGGUUUAAAGGGAGCGUAGGCUGCCGUUUAAGCGUGUUGUGAAAUGUACCGGCUCAACCGGUGAUGUGCAGCGCGAACUGGAUGGCUUGAGUACGAAGAGGGAAUGCGGAACUCGUGGUGUAGCGGUGAAAUGCUUAGAUAUCACGAGGAACUCCGAUCGCGAAGGCAGCAUUCCGUUUCGUGACUGACGCUGAUGCUCGAAAGUGCGGGUAUCGAACAGGAUUAGAUACCCUGGUAGUCCGCACGGUAAACGAUGGAUGCUCGCUGUUGGAUAUUUUUAUUCAGUGGCUAAGUGAAAGCAUUAAGCAUCCCACCUGGGGAGUACGCCGGCAACGGUGAAACUCAAAGGAAUUGACGGGGGCCCGCACNAAGCGGAGGAACAUGUGGUUUAAUUCGAUGAUACGCGAGGAACUUACCCGGGCUUGAAUUGCAGAGGAAAGAUCCAGAGAUGGUGAUGCCCUUCGGGGUCUCUGUGAAGGUGCUGCAUGGUUGUCGUCAGCUCGUGCCGUGAGGUGUCGGCUUAAGUGCCAUAACGAGCGCAACCCUUUUCCUUAGUUGCCAUCGGUUCAAGCCGGGCACUCUGAGGAUACUGCCUCCGCAAGGAGUGAGGAAGGUGGGGAUGACGUCAAAUCAGCACGGCCCUUACGUCCGGGGCUACACAC
rnacentral:rRNA from 1 species